GUCUACGGCCAUACCACCCUGAAUCCACCCAGUCUCUCCCGAGGCAGCUGAGCAGAGUCAGCCCUGGGUAAUAUUAGCACAGGAGAGUCUGAAUCCUCAAAUCAUGUAGCUUACCCG
rnacentral:rRNA from 1 species